UUCGGCAGGCCUAACACAUGCAAGUCGAACGGUAACAGAAAGCAGCUUGCUGCUUUGCUGACGAGUGGCGGACGGGUGAGUAAUGUCUGGGAAACUGCCCGAUGGAGGGGGAUAACUACUGGAAACGGUAGCUAAUACCGCAUAACGUCGCAAGACCAAAGAGGGGGACCUUCGGGCCUCUUGCCAUCGGAUGUGCCCAGAUGGGAUUAGCUAGUAGGUGGGGUAACGGCUCACCUAGGCGACGAUCCCUAGCUGGUCUGAGAGGAUGACCAGCCACACUGGAACUGAGACACGGUCCAGACUCCUACGGGAGGCAGCAGUGGGGAAUAUUGCACAAUGGGCGCAAGCCUGAUGCAGCCAUGCCGCGUGUAUGAAGAAGGCCUUCGGGUUGUAAAGUACUUUCAGCGGGGAGGAAGGGAGUAAAGUUAAUACCUUUGCUCAUUGACGUUACCCGCAGAAGAAGCACCGGCUAACUCCGUGCCAGCAGCCGCGGUAAUACGGAGGGUGCAAGCGUUAAUCGGAAUUACUGGGCGUAAAGCGCACGCAGGCGGUUUGUUAAGUCAGAUGUGAAAUCCCCGGGCUCAACCUGGGAACUGCAUCUGAUACUGGCAAGCUUGAGUCUCGUAGAGGGGGGUAGAAUUCCAGGUGUAGCGGUGAAAUGCGUAGAGAUCUGGAGGAAUACCGGUGGCGAAGGCGGCCCCCUGGACGAAGACUGACGCUCAGGUGCGAAAGCGUGGGGAGCAAACAGGAUUAGAUACCCCUGGUAGUCCACGCCGUAAACGAUGUCGACUUGGAGGUUGUGCCCUUGAGGCGUGGCUUCCGGAGCUAACGCGUUAAGUCGACCGCCUGGGGAGUACGGCCGCAAGGUUAAAACUCAAAUGAAUUGACGGGGGCCCGCACAAGCGGUGGAGCAUGUGGUUUAAUUCGAUGCAACGCGAAGAACCUUACCUGGUCUUGACAUCCACGGAAGUUUUCAGAGAUGAGAAUGUGCCUUCGGGAACCGUGAGACAGGUGCUGCAUGGCUGUCGUCAGCUCGUGUUGUGAAAUGUUGGGUUAAGUCCCGCAACGAGCGCAACCCUUAUCCUUUGUUGCCAGCGGUCCGGCCGGGAACUCAAAGGAGACUGCCAGUGAUAAACUGGAGGAAGGUGGGGAUGACGUCAAGUCAUCAUGGCCCUUACGACCAGGGCUACACACGUGCUACAAUGGCGCAUACAAAGAGAAGCGACCUCGCGAGAGCAAGCGGACCUCAUAAAGUGCGUCGUAGUCCGGAUUGGAGUCUGCAACUCGACUCCAUGAAGUCGGAAUCGCUAGUAAUCGUGGAUCAGAAUGCCACGGUGAAUACGUUCCCGGGCCUUGUACACACCGCCCGUCACACCAUGGGAGUGGGUUGCAAAAGAAGUAGGUAGCUUAACCUUCGGGAGGGCGCUUACCACUUUGUGAUUCAUGACUGGGGU
rnacentral:rRNA from 1 species